GCGCCCGGCCCGCUCCAGCCGCCGCGCAUCCUCGGCCCGCGCCCCGAGACCCGCGCCCAGCUAGCCCCGGCCCCGCUCGGCGCCCCAGGCAGCUCGGCUGCGCUCGCCGCGGGACGGCGCGGCCAUGAGGCUGCGGGGAUGCGGACCCCGGGCCGCCCCUGCCUCCAGCGCAGGGGCCAGCGACGCUCGGCUGCUGGCGCCCCCGGGGCGGAACCCCUUCGUGCACGAGCUGCGCCUCAGCGCCCUGCAGAAGGCCCAGGUGGCCCUCAUGACACUGACGCUCUUCCCAGUCCGGCUCCUGGUUGCCGCUGCCAUGAUGCUGCUGGCCUGGCCCCUCGCACUUGUCGCAUCCCUGGGCUCUGCGGAGAAGGAACCUGAGCAGCCCCUGGCCCUGUGGAGGAAGGUUGUGGACUUCCUGCUGAAGGCCAUCAUGCGCACCAUGUGGUUCGCCGGCGGCUUCCACCGGGUGGCCGUGAAGGGGCGGCAGGCGCUGCCCACCGAGGCGGCCAUCCUCACGCUCGCGCCUCACUCGUCCUACUUCGACGCCAUCCCGGUGACCAUGACGAUGUCCUCCAUCGUGAUGAAGGCAGAGAGCAGAGACAUCCCGAUCUGGGGAACUCUGAUCCGGUAUAUACGGCCUGUGUUCGUGUCCCGGUCAGACCAGGAUUCUCGCAGGAAAACAGUAGAAGAAAUCAAGAGACGGGCGCAGUCAAACGGAAAGUGGCCACAGAUAAUGAUUUUUCCAGAAGGAACUUGUACAAACAGGACCUGCCUAAUUACCUUCAAACCUGGUGCAUUCAUCCCUGGAGCGCCCGUCCAGCCUGUGGUUUUACGAUAUCCAAAUAAACUGGACACCAUCACAUGGACGUGGCAAGGACCUGGAGCGCUGGAAAUCCUGUGGCUCACGCUGUGUCAGUUUCACAACCACGUGGAAAUCGAGUUCCUUCCUGUGUACAGCCCUUCUGAGGAGGAGAAGAGGAACCCCGCGCUGUAUGCCAGCAACGUGCGGCGAGUCAUGGCCGAGGCCUUGGGUGUCUCCGUGACUGACUACACGUUCGAGGACUGCCAGCUGGCCCUGGCGGAAGGACAGCUCCGUCUCCCCGCUGACACUUGCCUUUUAGAAUUUGCCAGGCUCGUGCGGGGCCUCGGGCUAAAACCAGAAAAGCUUGAAAAAGAUCUGGACAGAUACUCAGAAAGAGCCAGGAUGAAGGGAGGAGAGAAGAUAAGUAUUGCGGAGUUUGCUGCCUCCCUGGAAGUCCCCGUCUCUGACUUGCUGGAAGACAUGUUUUCACUGUUCGACGAGGUCUUGGCAGGUGGCAGGCAUUGCAUCGCGUGUGCUUUGCUGAGGUGCUUCCUGUGGCAGCCUUGUGAACUUUGGGAAGUCACUGUAAUGGCCCCAAGAAGUGUACACAGCACAGUGACCUUGGAGAACCCACUUGGUGGAAUGUCCUUCCAAGAUUCCCUUUUCACGUGGGCAGAUGUUCCCGAGUGAGAGUGGGACUGGCCUUUAAUUAACACCAGCACCCGUGGGAAACCCUGGCGUUUCUCCAGUGCCGAAGGCGGCCGAGCUGUGGCUGAGAGCGUCUCUCCCCACAGAGCGGCAGCGGCGAGGUGGACCUGCGAGAGUGUGUGGUUGCCCUGUCUGUCGUCUGCCGGCCGGCCCGGACCCUGGACACCAUCCAGCUGGCUUUCAAGAUGUACGGAGCGCAAGAGGACGGCAGCGUCGGCGAAGGUGACCUGUCCUGCAUCCUCAAGACGGCCCUGGGGGUGGCAGAGCUCACCGUGACCGACCUAUUCCGAGCCAUUGACCAAGAGGAGAAGGGGAAGAUCACAUUCGCUGACUUCCACAGGUUUGCAGAAAUGUACCCUGACUUCGCAGAGGAAUACCUGUACCCGGAUCAGACACAUUUCGAAAGCUGUGCAGAGACCCCACCUGCGCCGAUCCCAAACGGUUUCUGUGCCGAUUUCAGCCCGGAAAACUCAGACGCUGGGCGGAAGCCUGUUCGCAAGAAGCUGGAUUAGGACCCAGGGUUGCGGAGAGACGCGGCCUCUCCCGCGUGGACAUCACCGCCGUGAGCCUCUUUGCGAGUGACCUCUGGGCUCCGCUCCUCACUCCUGCUGUACAGGCACUGUCUUCAGCCCGAGUUCCAGGGGCCUCGGGGGCUGUUUGUAUCUUGUUCCUUUGUGAAGUCUGUUGCAGAACCGACGCUUACUGUGCGAGAAUAGGAGGGCGCACACGCGGAUCCCCCGCCUGGCCUGGACCCCGUGGGGUCAGGUCCCCUGCCGGGCGGGGGGCACCGGUGCCGCCCUGUGUUCUCCCACGGGGUCCUGGUUUCGAGUCUCUGUCACAGCCUCUUCCAGCAGCAGCGUGCACCGGGCGGGCCUCCGUGCACACUCAGCACACGCCUGCCACUCAGAGCGUGUGCUUGCGUGUCACUCUGGCACGAAACCUCUGUCUGCCUCUGUGGAUCCACAGCCUGGCAGAGCCGUCACCUGAUUUUUCAGUGUUUCUACCUGUGUGCUGGAGCUCAUGAGUAUUUUAUAAACUCCAUUUAGGUACUUCAGGAAACAUGCAGCAUUUUUUAAAAAAUGAAAAUUGUUUUUCUACUUCAUUUUUCCUUUUAGAGUCAAAGGAUAUUUAUUUAUAGGCCUUUUUUUUUAAAUAUAGAAUCUGAGGCUGUUUGGGCUUUGACUUAAGUUUCCAUCAGGCCUCUCUCCAGCAGGUAAUCCCUCUCCUUCCGUUGGGUCCCCUGGGGAGGUGUGAACUCAAGGAUCUAGCCCCAUACACUUUUUCUGCUUUUCUUAAUCCUUUUCCAGUCCCCUCUUUUUUUAUAAACGUUGGCAGUUUGAUGUUUCUGUUUCGGCAUAACGGAAUCCACUUCACUGUAGCCUAAACUCCAGUCUGAGGUUGGAUAUUGUUCAAAUGAGCAGGGCCCGAGCUGGAAGCUCAAGGCAGCCGCCGCCGUGCCGCUCCUCCGUUGCUCUCAGGCCAGGUCCCUGCUGGAAGCGGCUGCAUCUUCCUCUCAGCCCUGGUUUCCAUGGUGACUGGCGUGACGCAGCCACCUGAGUGUGGCUGACCUUCCUGCAGAGAGAGGAGCCGCAGUCUUUUGCCUGUGGAAGGAGACACUGGGCUGUGCGGUGCGGAGGGUGAUGAGGAUGUGUGGUGACAGCCGUGCGGACACCACUCCUCUCUGCAGCACUGCCUCCCAGCGCCAGGGUCACAGGCACAUCCCACUGAGAGCGGGGGUCCUGCCCCAUCUUAGAGUCAAAGGCAGAGGGGCUUCCAGGCCCUGGAUGGGGUAUUUUGGUGUCACCUGAAGUCCCUCUGACAUCACCUUGUUUCAUCAUUUUUUAUGACAGAAUUAGAAACCCAUCCUUCAAGCACAAUAAUCCUCACAGACUUGAGUUUGCUUCCUAAAGCAAAGGCUCCGGGUUUGUUUGGAAAAUUUUUUUGAUUUCUGAAAUGAAUUGAUUUUUAUAUUUGGGGCAUCUCUAUAGAAAGUGACCACCAAGGCCAGUAAGUACAGGAAAAAAUGUUUACUAACUUCCUCAGAGAUUCGUGAUACGCGUUUCUCCACUGACAGACAUUUAAAAACAAACAACCUUCAGCUCCGUUUCAAUCAAUCACCUCGACUUGUUUCUAGCAUGGACACUGCCAGCAGGACAGACAGGGAUGGAGUAAACUGAAGUCAAUUUCAGGGCUCUUGGCGUGUUGGACACAGAAGAAAUCCUAGUGCAGCCUUUGGUAGCUAACAGUCACUGAUUUUAUAAUUGGAGAAUGCAUAAAGAUUCAUUUUUCAAGGAGAAGAGCCUGCAAAUGGCCAAUGAAGGAGGUAAAUAAACUAAGAUAUUCCGAGGGAAGGGACCCAGGCCGUCUCCCUUCCGCAGGUCUGCAGAUGAAGGGUUUUUUGAAUGAAAUGCCACUGUGCAUUUUCAGAAGAAAAAUCUCUGAUAAACAGACUUUGAAUGGAUGUUUGUUCCUCCUGAUUCUCUUUUCUCUUUGUGGCGACUUAGAGUUGGCGGAUAUUCAGAACUGUGAAUGUACAUAGCGUUGAGUUAAAUCCCUUGUGUGUGAGACAGGACGCAGCGGGCCCCUGGUGGCCUGGGAGCCAGAUCCAUGGGCAGGUGGGCAUGGGCCCUGGCCUGCAGGGACCUGCUGGGGUGUGAGGGCAGAGGGAGGGUUGCCAUGAAGGAACUUGGGAUUUUCAAUGGAAUAAAUAAAACAUAAAGUCUUCUAUACUUGGGAA